GAUGAACGCUAGCGACAGGCUUAACACAUGCAAGUCGAGGGGCAACAGGGUGUAGCAAUACACGGCUGGCGACCGGCGAAUGGGUGAGUAACACGUAUGCAACCUACCUUCAAGAGGGGAAUAGCCCGGCGAAAGUCGGAUUAAUGCGCCAUAAAACAGGGGUCACGCAUGUGACUAUUUGUUAAAGGAUUAAUUGCUUGAAGAUGGGCAUGCGUUCCAUUAGGCAGUUGGCGGGGUAACGGCCCACCAAACCGACGAUGGAUAGGGGUUCUGAGAGGAAGGUCCCCCACAUUGGUACUGAGAAACGGACCAAACUCCUACGGGAGGCAGCAGUGAGGAAUAUUGGUCAAUGGGCGCGAGCCUGAACCAGCCAAGUCGCGUGAAGGAAGAAGGAUCUAUGGUUUGUAAACUUCUUUUACAGGGGGGUAAAGUGAGUGACGAGUCGCUCAUUGCAAGUACCCUGCGAAUAAGCAUCGGCUAACUCCGUGCCAGCAGCCGCGGUAAUACGGAAGGUCCAGGCGUUAUCCGGAUUUAUUGGGUUUAAAGGGAGCGUAGGCCGCUUUUUAAGCGUGUUGUGAAAUGCGGGGGCUCAACCUCUGCACUGCAGCGCGAACUGGAAGGCUUGAGAGUGCGCAACGCAGGUGGAAUUUGUGGUGUAGCGGUGAAAUGCUUAGAUAUCACGAAGAACUCCGAUUGCGAAGGCAACUUGCGGGAGCACGACUGACGCUGAAGCUCGAAAAGUGCGGGUAUCGAACAAGGAUUAGAUACCCUGGUAGUCCGCACGGUAAAACGAUGGAUGCCCGCUGUGUGCCCAUGUGGUACGCGGCCAAGCGAAAGCAUUAAGCAUCCCACCUGGGGAGUACGCCGGCAACGGUGAAACUCAAAGGAAUUGACGGGGGCCCGCACAAGCGGAGGAACAUGUGGUUUAAUUCGAUGAUACGCGAGGAACCUUACCCGGGCUUGAAUUGCAGAUGCAUGCGAUAGAGAUAUCAAAGUCCUUCGGGACAUCUGUGAAGGUGCUGCAUGGUUGUCGUCAGCUCGUGCCGUGAGGUGUCGGCUUAAGUGCCAUAACGAGCGCAACCCCUUUCUUCAGUUGCCAUCAGGUCAAGCUGGGCACUCUGGGGAUACUGCCACCGUAAGGUGUGAGGAAGGUGGGGAUGACGUCAAAUCAGCACGGCCCUUACGUCCGGGGCUACACACGUGUUACAAUGGGGAGUACAGAGAGCCGGGGUCCCGCAAGGUCCCCCUAAUCAAUAAAGCUCCUCCCAGUUCGGACUGGGGUCUGCAACCCGACCCCACGAAGCUGGAUUCGCUAGUAAUCGCGCAUCAGCCAUGGCGCGGUGAAUACGUUCCCGGGCCUUGUACACACCGCCCGUCAAGCCAUGAAAGCUGGGGGUGCCUGAAGUCCGUGACCGCAAGGAUCGGCCUAGGGCAAAACCGGUAAUUGGGGCU
rnacentral:rRNA from 1 species